rfam:Ciona savignyi cont_60107, whole genome shotgun sequence.
GGCUCGUUGGUCUAGGGGUAUGAUUCGCGCUUCGGGAGCGAGAGGUCACGGGUUCAAUUCCCGGACGAGCCC